rnacentral:misc_RNA from 1 species
CCUCCUUGGCCUUCUUUUUGUGAUGCUGCCUGACCUUCCUUAAAACCUUAUACUUCUGCCUCAAUGGAAUUCUCUUACUUUUACUUUUUUUGCUCUUUUUCACCAUAUUUGAUUCUUCCUGGAAGAGAAGAUGCCUGGAGAGGAAACUAGAUAGAGGGGAAGAAAGAGAGAAUGUCGCUGGUUUAUGCCAGGGUUUUAAGUUUUAACAGAGAAAAAUGGGAAGGAGAUGACUGGAGACUGGAGUCGACACUCGAUU